rnacentral:rRNA from 1 species
UACGAAGGGGGCUAGCGUUGCUCGGAAUCACUGGGCGUAAAGCGCACGUAGGCGGAUCGCUAAGUCAGGGGUGAAAUCCUGGAGCUCAACUCCAGAACUGCCUUUGAUACUGGCAAUCUCGAGUCCGGGAGAGGUGAGUGGAACUGCGAGUGUAGAGGUGAAAUUCGUAGAUAUUCGCAAGAACACCAGUGGCGAAGGCGGCUCUCUGGUCUGUAACUGACGCUGAGGCGCGAAAGCGUGGGGAGCAGACAGG